rnacentral:rRNA from 1 species
GUGUCCUACGGGGCGCAGCAGUGGGGAAUAUUGCGCAAUGGGCGAAAGCCUGACGCAGCGACGCCGCGUGAGGGAUGAAGGUCUUCGGAUCGUAAACCUCUGUCAACAGGAAAGAACGGUCACUGUGCUAAUCAGCAGUGGAUUGACGGUACCUGCAAAGGAAGCACCGGCUAACUCCGUGCCAGCAGCCGCGGUAAUACGGAGGGUGCGAGCGUUAAUCGGAAUUACUGGGCGUCAAGCGCUCGUAGGCGGU